ensembl:lncRNA
CUAUAUUGAAGAUUAUCAUCUAAAUAGCACGUCUUCAGUCUCUAAUAAGACUGUUUUGUCAUCACGCAUUGCGUGCGUAAAAUACAAGACCAAAACGUGCCCAGCGCCACUACAACCAAGCCAGCACACUUAAGUGACUUUAACGCUGACACAAACAUAAAUUGGAGUAAGGAGGUCCAUUUAAAAGUUGCCACGAUAAUCUGCCCAACCAAAAAACAAAACUUAACAAAAAACAGGCACAACUCAAAACGGUGCUGAGCCGGGAGAAGUGAAAGGAGAAGCAGCGCAUGUGGAAUUAUGAAUGGACUGGGAGCACGUUGUCUGGCUGUCCUGAGUGCAAUACCGUGGGCGCUCAGCAGAGGCUGCUGUUCUCCCACUAACAAAAUUGGUGAAAGUUGUUCCAUUUUCUGCUCAGACCUCCUGGAACCCCCAACAAUACCAAUUAGACUGCCACCCACUUAGGGUUGCAGUGACUCUGGUCUUCCUGUUGGGCCAGAUGGGCCAAAGUUAGGAAUUGAGAUGGAGGUCCCUCUGGAUCAAUUCUUCUUCUUCUGCCCCUGCCCUCUUUGCUCUUAAAUGGUCCCUUCAAACCUGGACUAACAAGCGGUGCCUAGCAGUCCCCCCCCCCUCCAGUGGACUACCACUCCAUCCAAAAUACAACAAAAUACAAUUGCAACAGACAUAAAAUAUUCCAUUUUGUAGCUGCAGUUUCAUUACUGCUUCUGUUCUGGAGUUAAAACACUGUGAAUGGAACCAUCACAGGAUUAAAAAAAAGUGACAGAUUUCAGCUUACAGACUCUUCUUAGCAUUGCUUUCAUUAUAUAAGGACAGAUUCAGGAAACAGCCAGCAAUUUUGCAUAGCAUAUUUCACAUUCCUGGACUUCUACAAGAAUUUCUACAUUCUGUAUUCACGGGGAAGUGAUAUUUAUCACGGACAAACAACAUGGCAAAAAAAAAAAAAAAACUAAGGCCAUCAUGUGAUUUACUGAUACAAAACUGUGAUACGAAUCAAUGACUGUUAGCCAUAUGCCUUUGUUAGCUCUGUGUGCUCUGUGUUGCUAAUAUGU